rnacentral:rRNA from 1 species
CCUACGGGUGGCAGCAGUGAGGAAUAUUGGUCAAUGGACGAGAGUCUGAACCAGCCAAGUAGCGUGAAGGAUGACUGCCCUAUGGGUUGUAAACUUCUUUUAUAAAGGAAUAAAACGAGGCACGUGUGCCUUUUUGCAUGUACUUUAUGAAUAAGGAUCGGCUAACUCCGUGCCCGCAGCCGCGGUAAUACGGAGGAUCCGAGCGUUAUCCGGAUUUAUUGGGUUUAAAGGGAGCGUAGAUGGGUUGUUAAGUCAGUUGUGAAAGUUUGCGGCUCAACCGUAAAAUUGCAAUUGAUACUGGCAGUCGUGAGUACAGUUGAGGUAGGCGGAAUUCGUGGUGUAGCGGUGAAAUGCUUAGAUAUCACGAAGAACCACGAUUGCGAAGGCAGCUUACUAAACUGUGACUGACAUUGAUGCUCGAAAGUGUGGGUAUCAAACAGGAUUAGAUACCCGGGUAGUC